rnacentral:rRNA from 1 species
UACCGCAUAAGCCCACGGGUCGGCAUCGACCAGAGGGAAAAGGAGCAAUCCGCUUUGAGAUGGCCUCGCGCCCGAUUAGCUAGUUGGUGAGGUAACGGCCCACCAAGGCGACGAUCGGUAGCCGGACUGAGAGGUUGAACGGCCACAUUGGGACUGAGACACGGCCCAGACUCCUACGGGAGGCAGCAGUGGGGAAUAUUGCACAAUGGGGGAAACCCUGAUGCAGCGACGCCGCGUGGAGGAAGAAGGUCUUCGGAUUGUAAACUCCUGUUGUUGAGGAAGAUAAUGACGGUACUCAACAAGGAAGUGACGGCUAACUACGUGCCAGCAGCCGCGGUAAAACGUAGGUCACAAGCGUUGUCCGGAAUUACUGGGUGUAAAGGGAGCGCAGGCGGGAAGACAAGUUGGAAGUGAAAUCCAUGGGCUUAACCCAUGAACUGCUUUCAAAACUGUUUUUCUUGAGUAGUGCAGAGGUAGGCGGAAUUCCCGGUGUAGCGGUGGAAUGCGUAGAUAUCGGGAGGAACACCAGUGGCGAAGGCGGCCUACUGGGCACCAACUGACGCUGAGGCUCGAAAGUGUGGGUAGCAAACAGGAUAGAUACCCUGGUAGUCCACACCGUAAACGAUGAUUACUAGGUGUUGGAGGAUUGACCCCUUCAGUGCCGCAGUUAACACAAUAAGUAAUCCACCUGGGGAGUACGACCGCAAGGUUGAAACUCAAAGGAAUUGACGGGGGCCCGCACAAGCAGUGGAGUAUGUGGUUUAAUUCGACGCAACGCGAAGAACCUUACCAAGUCUUGACAUCCUGUGACAGACGUAGAAAUACGUUCUUCCUUCGGGACACAGAGACAGGUGGUGCAUGGUUGUCGUCAGCUCGUGUCGUGAGAUGUUGGGUUAAGUCCCGCAACGAGCGCAACCCUUAUGGUCAGUUACUACGCAAGAGGACUCUGGCCAGACUGCCGUUGACAAAACGGAGGAAGGUGGGGAUGACGUCAAAUCAUCAUGCCCUUUAUGACUUGGGCUACACACGUACUACAAUGACGUUAAACAAAGAGAAGCAAGACCGCGAGGUGGAGCAAAACUCAGAAACAACGUCCCAGUUCGGACUGCAGGCUGCAACUCGCCUGCACGAAGUCGGAAUUGCUAGUAAUCGUGGAUCAGCAUGCCACGGUGAAUACGUUCCCGGGCCUUGUACACACCGCCCGUCACACCAUGAGAGCCGGGGGGACCCGAAGUCGAUAGUCUAACCGCAAGGAGGACGCCGCCGAAGGUAAAACUGGUGAUUGGGGUGAAGUCGGAACAAGGU